UUCCUUGGGCUCAUGCUUAUUUCUGCUUGGGUGAUUCCCAAAUCUGUUUUCCCUGAUUAAUUUUGGGUGAUUCCCAAAUAUGUUCAUGAUUAUUUGUGCUUGGGUGAUUCCCAAAUAUGUUCCCAAUUCUGUUUCGGGUGCUCUUGCUGAUCUAUUUUCCCUGAUUAAUUUUGUGAUUGGGUGAUUCCCAUUCUGUUUCCCCUGAUCUAUUUUGUGCUUGGGUGAUUCCCAAUUCUUGGUGGCUGCAUGCAAGAGCACUAGGGUUUGUUGGUUGGCAAUUGGAUCUGAAAUGAUAUAAACAUGCUCUGAUUUUGCCACUAUGAUGGUUAAAUGUGUUGUCUGUGCUUUGUGUGUUCGUGUGCUUACGUUGUGAUGUGUAGUUGGCUGCCAUCUUAAUUGUUGGGUGUGUAGUUGGCUGCCAUCUUAAUUGUUGUGAUGUGUAGUUGGCUGCCAUCUUAGUUGUUGGGUGUGUAGUUGGCUGCCAUCUUAAUUGUUGGUGUGUAGUUGGCUGCCAUCUUAAUUGUUGGGUGUGUAGUUGGCUGCCAUCUUAAUUGUUGGGUGUGUAGUUGGCUGCCACAUUCAUUAAUGCACUAUAUCUUCAUGUAGGCCUUUACAAAAAAUAAGCCUAUCUAUGUGCCCUACUACAGAUUCUAAACUGCACUAUAUCUUCAUGUAGGCCUUUACAAAAAACUGCACAAAAAACAUUUUGGUCUUGCAGAUGCUAAACUGCACUAUACCUUCAGUUUGGCCUUUACAAAAACUGCACAAAAACUGCACUAAAACCCUUCUAGAUGAUAGCUUUAAUCAAGCAACAUCAUGGCAUUGAAAAGUUCUUCAAUGCCAUCCAUAUUUGCUUCAUUAAUGCCUAAUCUAUCCAUUAGCUCUUCUAGUCCUUCCUCUGCACCUUGAUCUUUCAAAUACUUCAUGCUUUGUGUGACAAGUUCAUGGGGGACUUCCAAACUUGUUGGAAGCAAAUCUUGUCUAAUCAAUGCCCCUUUCUUCAUAUGUGGCAGCUUAUAACAGUUAUUGCCCUUCACCUUCAUGAUCUCCAACAUGCAACCUUGUAAGCUUAAGAAAACACAGUUUAAAGCCAUUGGAUCUAGGUCUUCAUAAGCUUUAUGCACUGCAUUCACUAAAUCAUCAACAUCACUGCAUGCAAUUUCAGUUUGUAGGCUUUGAAUGGCCCUAAAAAACCCAAGGUCAUUGAUAUUGGUGUCGGGUGAGUUUGGAGGUUGAUUCACAAUGUUGAUAUUGAAACCAUCACGUGUGGCAGCCUCUCUAAACUCCAAGUCAUCAUUGCAAAUAUGUGGUCUUGCAUUAUCUUGUUGAAUAAACACAUCUUUGCUUGCAAAAGAGGGCCACUUGGUUAUGAUGGCAGGCACAAUCUGUUGUUUUACAUAAAAAAAAGCAUGCAAAUGGUCAGUUCUUUGAUGUUGACAAUCUGCAUUCACUAAUUGAUGCAUAUAGGCAUUACCUUGUUGAUGAAAAAGUCUCUCAUAACUGGUUUGCUCACACUUUCUAUGGGCUUUUGCUCUAGAGUUCCAGCCACCCUGUUCUUACUUGAUCUUUUUGCUGCCACCAUCUCUGUAAAUGGGAAUAUGCCUAUCUUCCCAUCAAAUAUAAUGCUGCCAUCUGCAGCAAAUAGUGGUCGGCACACUGCAGAUAUGAACAUCACCUUCUUUAUGAAGUUCUUGUUCUUGCAUGUUCUAUGUGGUUCAGCCUCUGUUGGUGUUAAAUAGAACCUGUGAGAACUCUUUGUUAAGUAAAACCAUUUCUCAUCUACGUGUACAAUGUUUUGCAUGCUCUUGAACCUCAAGUUAUGUGACAGCCUGCCCAUCUCUAUUGCAUCUAAGCAAAACCUCAACCUUAACAGCUUAUUUUGGGCUGUAAGGUCAGGUCUUAGUGCACUCGUGUGAGCUUUGAUCAGACCUUGAUCUAUCCACCGACCUACGGUGCUCUUGCUGCAAUUUAUUCCAUUAGCUAGUCUCCUUAUGGUGGACCUCUUUGUUAAAUCUAAACUUGCAAUUAGCUCUAGCCCAAAUGCGCGAAACAGUUCGCCGGCAGACGUGGAACUUCUCCUCCAUAGCUUUCAUCUUCCCUCUUGGUGGCUUUCCAUUUUUGCUUUCAAGAAGAAGGAAUUGAAGCAUUGAAGACCUCUCCUCUGUUGUUAAAUCCUUUCUUCUCAUCUUUUUUUUUUUUGGCACUUGUUCUGCUCGCAAACUGCUCUCAGAAAUGGUGAGCAAACAAACAAAUGCUCUGUAUAUAUAGCUGAUGUUGGACGCACAGUGUAGCAAUUUCAAAUUUAUGGAAUGAAAUGAAAGUUUGGCCCACCAUUUCUGCCGCCUUUUUUUUCCCUCUAUUUUGCUGUGUUUUAGCAACAGUUACUGUUCCCAAUUCAUAGUUAAUCUAAUAAACAAUUCAAUCACAUUAAAUAAAGCAUUUUAAAAUUAAUUUAAAUUGUUGAA